AGAAUAAGCACCGGCUAACUUCGUGCCAGCAGCCGCGGUAAUACGAAGGGUGCAAGCGUUACUCGGAAUUACUGGGCGUAAAGCGUGCGUAGGCGGUGUGUUAAGUCUGAUGUGAAAGCCCCGGGCUCAACCUGGGAAUUGCAUUGGAUACUGGAUGACUAGAGUGUGGUAGAGGGAAGCGGAAUUCCCGGUGUAGCAGUGAAAUGCGUAGAUAUCGGAAGGAACAUCUGUGGCGAAGGCGGCAUCCUGGACCAACACUGACACUGAGGCACGAAAGCGUGGGGAGCAAACAGGAUUAGAUACCCUGGUA
rnacentral:rRNA from 1 species